AUUGAACGCUGGCGGAAUGCUUUACACAUGCAAGUCGAACGGCAGCACGGACUUCGGUCUGGUGGCGAGUGGCGAACGGGUGAGUAAUAUAUCGGAACGUGCCCAGUCGUGGGGGAUAACGUAGCGAAAGCUACGCUAAUACCGCAUACGAUCUACGGAUGAAAGCGGGGGAUCGCAAGACCUCGCGCGAUUGGAGCGGCCGAUAUCAGAUUAGGUAGUUGGUGAGGUAAAGGCUCACCAAGCCGACGAUCUGUAGCUGGUCUGAGAGGACGACCAGCCACACUGGGACUGAGACACGGCCCAGACUCCUACGGGAGGCAGCAGUGGGGAAUUUUGGACAAUGGACGCAAGUCUGAUCCAGCCAUUCCGCGUGCAGGACGAAGGCCUUCGGGUUGUAAGCUGCUUUUGUACAGAACGAAAAGGUCUCUAUUAAUACUAGGGGCUCAUGACGGUACUGUAAGAAUAAGCACUGGCUAACUACGUGCCAGCCGCCGCGGUAA
rnacentral:rRNA from 1 species